rnacentral:misc_RNA from 1 species
GAUGAAGAACGUAGCGAAAUGCGAUAAGUAAUGUGAAUUGCAGAAUUCAGUGAAUCAUCGAAUCUUUGAACGCACAUUGCGCCCCUUGGUAUUCCGAGGGGCAUGCCUGUUCGAGCGUCAUUAUAACCCCUCAAGCUCAGCUUGGUGUUGGGGCCUGCUGCACUGGCAGCCCUUAAAAUCAGUGGCGGCGCCAUCUGGCUCUAAGCGUAGUAACUCUUCUCGCUAUGGAGUCCUGGUGGAUGCUUGCCAUCAACCCCCAAUUUUUCUAUGGUUGACCUCGGAUCAGGUAGGGAUACCCGCUGAACUUAAGCAUAUCAAUAAGCGGAGGA